rnacentral:rRNA from 1 species
UAGGGAAUCUUCCGCAAUGGACGAAAGUCUGACGGAGCAACGCCGCGUGAGCGAAGAAGGAUUUCGGUUCGUAAAACUCUGUUGUUAGGGAAGAAAAAAUGUAUAGUAACUAUAUACAAAAGAGACGGUACCUAACCAGAAAGCCACGGCUAACUACGUGCCAGCAGCCGCGGUAAUACGUAGGUGGCAAGCGUUGUCCGGAAUUAUUGGGCGUAAAGCGCGCGCAGGUGGUUUAGAAAGUCUGAUGUGAGAACCCACGGCUCAACCGUGGAGGGUCAUUGGAAACUAAUAAACUUGAGUGCAGGAGAGAAAAGUGGAAUUCCUAGUGUAGCGGUGAAAUGCGUAGAGAUUAGGAGGAACACCGGUGGCGAAAGCGGCUUUUUGGCCUGCAACUGACACUGAGGCGCGAAAGCGUGGGGAGCAAACAGG